UUGCAGCUUCUUCUUCCUUAAUUCCAAAGCAGCUCCGUCUUCCUCAUCACUUCCUACUUCCUAUGACCAACUUCCUCCAUGCAUAAUGAGCUUAGACCUUGAACCUCCUCCAUCGGCGAGAUAUGAACCAACGGCAGUAGAUGGAGACGGCAGGUCGGCGUGACUGGCGGCAGAGCGACUUGGACCUCCUUAGGCGUGAACAGCACCGGCGUCCCUUGUUUUCGACAAGAGCAGAACAUUCCGGCGACCUCCUCCAUCUUCUCCCCUCCCUCUCGGCGUUAUCAGCAGCGGUGGACCAGCAAGAAAUUCGGCGUAGCAGCUCCACGACCCAUGGACCUCCGGUGGCGACUCUGACGAACAGAACACCUGCUGGGCCGCAGCUGAACGAAGCAGUACCCAUCGGCGGCAUCCCCUGUUUCCGGCUAAGCUUGGCAGUUCGGUGGCUGAUCAGUGUAGCUCGGUAGCCGACGACAUCCCUCUCCCCGCGAGCAUGGUGUUUAAUGCGUGUCUGGAGGUGUGGCUUUGAAUCCAUGGAGUGGGAGGUCAAAUGACAUGUUAUGUGAUGAUUUGGAGAAUCACCUGCAGGAGUUCGCAACCAAAAAUUUUAUACCCAUUAUGGAAAAGUUGCAUAAAUCUGUUCGUUAAGCGGCGCGUGGCGAUUCGUUACGGUGGUCUAUAGAUCGAAAAUUCUCGCACUCAAUUUUGUCGUGGUUAAACUGGGGGCUCUACCUUACCCCGGUGAGGUUAGAUUUUACAGUAAUUUACCUGGUGUUAAUCUCCUUAUUUUUCUUAUGGUUUUUGGAGUUGUUCUGCUCCUUCUAGCUGAGGGUGGCCGGAUUGUGCCCCCAUUAUCUAUUUUCUUGCUUAGUUAUUUUUUAUAUGCAAGGUUAUUUUGCCUAAAAAAUAAAUAUUUAAAACCUUGAAACUCUCUAAACGCUAAACAUGUACUCAUCUCUAUUUAAGAGCCUAAACACAA